CUACGUGCCAGCAGCCGCGGUAAUACGUAUGUCACGAGCGUUAUCCGGAUUUAUUGGGCGUAAAGCGCGUCUAGGUGGUUAUGUAAGUCUGAUGUGAAAAUGCAGGGCUCAACUCUGUAUUGCGUUGGAAACUGUGUAACUAGAGUACUGGAGAGGUAAGCGGAACUACAAGUGUAGAGGUGAAAUUCGUAGAUAUUUGUAGGAAUGCCGAUGGGGAAGCCAGCUUACUGGACAGAUACUGACGCUAAAGCGCGAAAGCGUGGGUAGCAAACAGGAUUAGAUACCCUGGUAGUCCACGCUGUAAACGAUGAUUACUAGGUGUUGGGGGUCGAACCUCAGCGCCCAAGCAAACGCGAUAAGUAAUCCGCCUGGGGAGUACGUACGCAAGUAUGAAACUCAAAGGAAUUGACGGGGACCCGCACAAGCGGUGGAGCAUGUGGUUUAAUUCGACGCAACGCGAGGAACCUUACCAGCGUUUGACA
rnacentral:rRNA from 1 species